AAAAAUACAAAUCCUGGGUUUCUUUGUCCAACGUUUGACUGUCCGUCUUAUUUGAAAAAAUUAUGAAAAAAAAAUUAAAAGACAAGUCACGCAUAAAGUAUUAAUCAUGUUUUAUUAUCUAACAACAAUGAAAAUACUAAUUAUAAAAAAAUUUCAUAUAAGACGGACAGUCAAACGUUGGAUACGGAAACCCAAGAUUUGUCUUUUU
rfam:Oryza glumipatula chromosome 7, whole genome shotgun sequence.